AACGGAGGGGGCGAGUGUUAUUCAUAGUGAUUGGGCGUAAAGGGUACGUAGGCGGCUUCUCAAGCUUUUAUAGAAAUUCCAUGGCGCAACCGUGGUCGUUAAAAGGACUGUUUUGCUACGAAUUCAGCAGAGGUUAGCGGUACUUUUAGAGUAAAAGUAAUAAUUAUCGAUUCUAAGGGGACCUCCAAUGGCGAAGGCAGCUAACCAGGUUGAAUUGACGCUAAGGUACGGAGGCGUGGGGAUCGAACAGG
rnacentral:rRNA from 1 species